AUAGAUCUCAGGUCUGCGUGAAAUUGUCUCAGCUAGGCCUAAAGUCACCGGGCCGCCCGAGCCUCCCUCUCAAGGAGCCUGGAUCUUAGCCUGAGAGAUGAAGAAAGCCACUACGGGAUGGAGCAACUACCUCAUCUCCUAUCCUCUGACCCAGUUUGUGGGGUUGUAUUCUGACCUUCAGCUUCCCAGACACCAACAAAGUAAUCUUGGAUACAUUCCGCUCACCACCACAGAGCCUUGGGCUCAUGUGACCUGUGUUCCCUGCUGGGCCUGCUUUCUGAGUGCUAAGAUUGACCUUAUAGUCCCCUGAACCUCCUGUGCCCUGUUGCCUACCUGGACAUUGCUUGAGUCAGAUCCCAGAUGCUUUCCACCUGAGCUUGAAAAUAAAAUACAUGUUAC
rnacentral:lncRNA from 1 species